UCUCCGUUCUCCGUUCUCCAGCUCGGCUCCUCCAUCCAUACUGCCUCGCCGCCUCUCUCCAUCAGUCCGACCCUCCCUCAUCCGCAGCGCCUCAUUGAAGAGGCACAAAGCAGGGAAACUCCAGUACAAAGAUUGGCUGAUAAGGCAAGCAAGAACAUAGUAGAUGCUAAACUCGCGAAAGAUUUUUAGACAGCGUUAAAAGAAUUUUAGAAGGCACGGCGUCUUGUAGCAGAGAGAGAAACUGCUUACACUCCAUUUGUUCCACAAGCUGCUCUCUUUGUGCGAAGAGUUGAUGAAUCACUGCAUGAGGUCUUAUUUUUAGAUAAUGAGAUUGCCUUCAAUGAGGCUAUCAUUGAAGAAAGAGAGCAUGUCAUUCAAGAAAUUCAGCAGCAAAUUGACUGAUCGAUUGUUGAUUUCAAAAAAAUUCAUGGAUUGAUUAAUCAUUGAUUUUGGGGACGCCCACGAAUUGGAAGAUCACUGUUUUUUCUUGCAUAUAUAUUAUGGCGUCAAGUUUUGUGAUAAUUACCUGUUGUCACAGACCGCUAGUAUUCUUAACCACAUCAACACUUAUACAUUGAUUGACACAAUUAGGAAACCAUAUCUAGGACUAGUUCCUAAGUAAUGUCGGGUUGCGGGGUGUAAACUAACACAUGAACUCAUGGUCUGCAUAAGACAGACAUUCAUCAUAUUCAUUUGUAUGAAUUAUUUGAGUGUUCCUUGUAUUAUUGUGUUGUGUUAUCUAUGACUUUCUUGCUAUUUGAUUUAUGUAUGAAUCGGUUAUACGUUUGUAUUAUUUAAUUUGCUUGUGUUUGAUGGUUUUCGAAUAUGAUGAAAGUUGGUGUGAACUGAAAUUCUUAUGUAUUAGAAAUUUGAAUAGAUAUGUGGAUAGAUGAUUUUUAGAAGAGCUAUAAUGAAAGACUUGGAAGUUUAUAGUUCUCAAAUUACAUACAUUUUAAGGAUUCCUUUUUAAGGA